rnacentral:tRNA from 1 species
GUUUUGUAGUUCAAAAAGAACAAAGGUUUGUGGCACCUUAAGUGUAGAAUCUACCAAAGACC